ACUGGCUGAGUUGAUGAAGAGGGCGGAGAAGUAUAUAAGGCAGGAUGACGCCUUAGUGACGAGUAGAUUUGCCAAAGGGAUGGCAGGAAAAGAGAAAGCCCCGGAGGAGAGGAGGCCGGAGAGACACGAGAAGAAACAUGGAAAGAGGCCUGAGCCGUACAAACAGGCCUGGGAGAGAAGGGAUCAAAGGCCUCCUCCUCCUCCUCGGGCUCUUGAACCAAGAGUGCUCCCUCCUUGGGUUCCCGAGAAACCAACCCCCC
rnacentral:lncRNA from 1 species